CUGUGUUUGGAGAAGGCGUGCCUUCCUCGCCUGGGUCACAUUUUGCCCGUGUCGUCAGCUGGGCGUCUGAAAGUUAAAGGGAGGGAUCGUCAACGCUGUGCCGCUGCAAAGAACACGCUUCCUUUUCAGAGAAGGCUUAAGUUAAAAGCAAGAGCUCACAUGAUGACAGAACCUUCCCUGGGUCUGUUUGGUCUGGUAUCUUGUGUACAGAACUGAUCCAUAACAGACAGGAGGAUGCAAGGAAAUUUGGAAGUGCCCAGAAAUACCUUCUGAAUUAAUUCAGCCUGUUUUAUCACUGAGGACAGAGAAACACUGGAAGAGAUUUCCUGGGGAAGAUGUAGCAUUUCAAUCGCUAGUUGUCUUUAGGACCACGUUACAGAAAUCUCUGGAUUUUUAACUCAAGGUGGAAGGAUGAAUGAGUUCUGACUUGGAAUAUCCCACUGGUUUGCUUUCAAACUAGUACAAAUGGAGAAGUAUAACUAAUUCAUGCCUACUGAUUAAACAAGUUCUACUGGUAGGAUAGUGAGUGAGGGGCUGGGCUGCUGGCUGGAGUUUAACCACGACACCCUGUAUUGGUUCUGUGGUAUUCUCAAUGGCCCUCCUGAGCUAAGAAGUGAGAUCAGACUUAGGUAGGUCAUCUCUGUUCUUGCAAACUCUUUUACCAUGGCAUAAAAUGUCCGGAUUGAUUUUGUCGUUUUAUGAUUUAGGCAAGCUUCUGGGGCUGAAAGGCCU